rnacentral:rRNA from 1 species
GACGAACGCUGGCGGCGUGCUUAAUACAUGCAAGUCGAGCGAGGUCCAUCUGGUGGCAACACCAGUGAAGGCCGAGCGGCGAACGGGUGAGUAACACGUGAGCGACCUGCCCCGAAGUCUGGAAUAACAUCGGGAAACCGGUGCUAAUACCGGAUCGCCCCACCUGACCGCAUGAUCGGGUGAGGAAAGAUUUAUCGCUUCGGGGAGGGGCUCGCGGCCUAUCAGCAGUUGGUGGGGUAACGGCCUACCAAGGCGUCGACGGGUAGCUGGUCUGAGAGGACGACCAGCCACACUGGGACUGAGACACGGCCCAGACUCCUACGGGAGGCAGCAGUAGGAAUCUUGCGCAAUGGGCGAAAGCCUGACGCAGCAA